rnacentral:lncRNA from 1 species
UUUUCUUUUCAUUCGUCUUCUCACAAUCAAAAACCCUAAUCUCAGCCGUCAUCCACAUUGGCGAUUUCUACUAAGGCGAUUUAAUUUGUAGCUAUCAUCCAAUUUCCCCUGAAUCCACGCCUCUCAUCCUUUACUCUCAUCCCCUAAUACACAAACCCUAAAACUCUUCAUGUUCCAUCGCAAUUUGCAAGCAAGAAGCCUGUGGAUUGGGAGGAAUGAGAAAAUAAUCGGGGUACAUUUGGGGUUGACUGGUAUGAGUCAAAGUGGAGGAAUUUAUGGAGGAUGAUGUAAUAUGGGGUUGACUGGUAUGAGAUAAACUAGGAUUUACACAUAGAGACGUCUGAAACCACCGAUGUUGUUCACUGGUGUGCAUAAAAGACACUAAAAAAAUUGCUAAGACACGAAUAUGAUGCAAACUUUCAACCAACACCAAAUUUCUGAAGAAAGAAAAGAUACUUAAUAGUGAAACACAGAGUUGAAAACAAGUUUUAAUUCAUUUGUGUUUCUUUGUUUAAACAGAG